AGUGAACGCUGGCGGCGUGCUUAACACAUGCAAGUCGAACGAUGACAGAGAAGAGCUUGCUUUUCUGCUGAUUAGUGGCGCACGGGUGAGUAGUAUAUAGUUAAUGUACCUCGAAGACCGGGAUAGCCAUUGGAAACGAUGAUUAAUACUGGAUACUCCUUCUAAACUCAAGUUUAGUCGGGAAAUGUUUUUUCGCUUCGAGAUCAGACUAUAUCCCAUCAGUUUGUUGGUGAGGUAAGAGCUCACCAAGGCAAUGACGGGUAGCGGGUUUGAGAGGAUGAUCCGCCACACUGGUACUGAGACACGGACCAGACUCCUACGGGAGGCAGCAGUGAGGAAUAUUGCACAAUGGGCGAAAGCCUGAUGCAGCAACGCCGCGUGGAGGAUGACGCAUUUCGGUGUGUAAACUCCUUUUAUGAGUCAAGAAAAUGACGGUAGCUCAUGAAUAAGCACCGGCUAACUCCGUGCCAGCAGCCGCGGUAAUACGGAGGGUGCAAGCGUUGCUCGGAAUCACUGGGCGUAAAGGACGCGUAGGCUGGUUGGUAAGUCAGAUGUGAAAUCCUACAGCUUAACUGUAGAACUGCAUUUGAAACUACUAACCUAGAGUAUGGGAGGGGGAGAUGGGAUUAGUGGUGUGAGGGGUAAAAUCCGUAGAUAUCACUAGGAAUACCGAAAGCGAAGGCGAUCUCCUGGAACAUUACUGACGCUGAGGCGUGAAAGCGUGGGGAGCAAACGGGAUUAGAUACCCCGGUAGUCCACGCCCUAAACGAUGAACACUAGUCGUCGGGAUGCUUGUCAUCUCGGUGAUGCACUUAACAGAUUAAGUGUUCCGCCUGGGGAGUACGGUCG
rnacentral:rRNA from 1 species